rnacentral:rRNA from 1 species
UACGUAGGGUGCAAGCGUUGUCCGGAAUUAUUGGGCGUAAAGAGCUCGUAGGCGGUCAGUCGCGUCUGCUGUGAAAACUCGGGGCUUAACUCCGGGCCUGCAGUGGGUACGGGCAGACUAGAGUGUGGUAGGGGAGACUGGAAUUCCUGGUGUAGCGGUGAAAUGCGCAGAUAUCAGGAGGAACACCGAUGGCGAAGGCAGCUCGCUGGAACGGUACUGACGCUGAGGCGCGAAAGCGUGGGGAGCGAACAGG